rnacentral:rRNA from 1 species
UACAGAGGGGGCAAGCGUUGUUCGGAAUUACUGGGCGUAAAGGGCGCGUAGGCGGCCUGCUAAGUCGAACGUGAAAUCCCCGAGCUCAACUCGGGAACUGCGUCCGAUACUGGCAGGCUUGAAUCCGGGAGAGGGAUGCGGAAUUCCAGGUGUAGCGGUGAAAUGCGUAGAUAUCUGGAGGAAUACCGGUGGCGAAGGCGGCAUCCUGGACCGGCAUUGACGCUGAGGAGCGAAAGCCAGGGGAGCAAACGGG